UGUUUCGGCUAGGGGGUCAUCCCGACUUACCAACCCGAUGCAAACUGCGAAUACCGGAGAAUGUUAUCACGGGAGACACACGGCGGGUGCUAACGUUCGUCGUGAAGAGGGAAACAACCCAGACCGCCGGCUAAGGUCCCAAAGUCAUAAUUAAGUGGGAAACGAAGUGGGAAGGCUCAGACAGCCAGGAUGUUGGCUUAGAAGCAGCCAUCAUUUAAAGAAAGCGUAAUAGCUCACUGGUCGAGUCGGCCUGCGCGGAAGAUGUAACGGGGCUAAAUUAUGCACCGAAGCCGCGGCAGCGAUAUGUAAAUAUUGUUGGGUAGGGGAGCGUUCUGUAAGCCUGUGAAGGUGACCUGUGAGGGUUGCUGGAGGUAUCAGAAGUGCGAAUGCUGACAUAAGUAACGAUAAUGCGGGUGAAAAACCCGCACGCCGGAAGACCAAGGGUUCCUGUCCAACGUUAAUCGGGGCAGGGUGAGUCGACCCCUAAGGCGAGGCUGAAAAGCGUAGUCGAUGGGCAACGGGUUAAUAUUCCCGUACUGGUGGUAACUGCGAAGGGGGGACGGAGAAAGCUAAAUCAUCCGGGCGACGGUUGUCCCGGUUUAAGCGUGCAGGUGGACUGACCAGGCAAAUCCGGUCGGUUGUUAACACUGAGGCGUGACGACGAGCCACUACGGUGGUGAAGUGAUUGAUGCUCUGCUUCCGGGAA
rnacentral:rRNA from 1 species